AUUGAACGCUGGCGGCAUGCCUUACACAUGCAAGUCGAACGGCAGCACGGGUGCUUGCACCUGGUGGCGAGUGGCGAACGGGUGAGUAAUACAUCGGAACAUGUCCUGUAGUGGGGGAUAGCCCGGCGAAAGCCGGAUUAAUACCGCAUACGAUCUACGGAUGAAAGCGGGGGCCCUUCGGGCCUCGCGCUAUAGGGUUGGCCGAUAGCUGAUUAGCUAGUUGGUGGGGUAAAGGCCUACCAAGGCGACGAUCAGUAGCUGGUCUGACAGGACGACCAGCCACACUGGGACUGAGACACGGCCCAGACUCCUACGGGAGGCAGCAGUGGGGAAUUUUGGACAAUGGGCGAAAGCCUGAUCCAGCAAUGCCGCGUGUGUGAAGAAGGCCUUCGGGUUGUAAAGCACUUUUGUCCGGAAAGAAAUCCUUGGCUCUAAUACAGUCGGGGGAUGACGGUACCGGAAGAAUAAGCACCGGCUAACUACGUG
rnacentral:rRNA from 1 species